CAGAGGUGGGCAAACUAUGGCCCGCGGGCAAACCGUCCUGCUGUUCCCGCUCCCCCACAGCCACGCUGCUGUGCGGGCAGCACAGCUGGCUCUGGCCGGCAUGGCUGCGAGCUCCUGCUGCUCUGAGUGGCAUGGUUGAAGACAGCAGUAGCAGGUGGCAUCUGUGCUGAUCCUGGGAUAAGAACGCUGGCUGGCUGACAGUGACCCUCUUUGCCUCUUUAAGUACCACACCAACAAAUGCUGAGCACUCAACCUUAGUGAAAGAGCUGUACUUGAAUUUUCCUUUCAGCCUUCCGGUGAAAGCAGAGCUGGGUCACUUUUAUAUCUGGGCACCAGUUUGAAUCCAGCCUGAAUUGGUAAUGUCUGAACAUCAUUAGCACCUGACAGCUGUUUGGGUGCCUCUGGGACACGAGUUAGUGGUCUCACUCCAGUCCAGAAUGUACAACUGUUGGUGGCAGAUACAACUACUGGCUAGACACUGAAUGGGUGGGGAGACUGAAUGACAUUCUGAUUUCUAGAGCUGGCCUCUCCCCAGCAACGUGGAGAUGCCGAUGCUGCACUUUUUUUUGGGAUUGCGAUCUUCCAUUCUGUCACUUGGCAGCACACAAUGCCUACAGGCUUGGACAGAUGACUUCAGAGGUUAUAGCAGAUGUGCACCUGAUUGAGCAGUGCUAUGGGCUAGGAGAGGAUAUUGGCCUGUUUUCAAACAAAACCUAUGCUAAACUGAGGUCUGCUGUGGUAGAAUCAGAAUUCACUUGGUGCUAGUCAU